rnacentral:rRNA from 1 species
AGCAGCCGCGGUAAUUCCAGCUCCAAUAGCGUAUAUUAAAGUUGUUGCAGUUAAAAAGCUCGUAGUUGAAUUUCGGAAUCUGUCCAUCGGUCGGGCUUUAUUGUCCGUACUGGUGUGGUGGGUUCUUACCUUCUGAAUAACCAGCAUGCCAUUUAUUUGGUGCGUUGGGGAAGCAGGACUAUUACCUUGAAAAAAUUAGAGUGCUCAAAGCAGGCUAGUGCCUGAAUACAUUAGCAUGGAAUAAUAAAAUAGGACGGCAUGGUUCUAUUUUGUUGGUUUCUAGGAUCACCGUAAUGAUUAAUAGGGAUAGUUGGGGGCAUUAGUAUUCAAUUGUCAGAGGUGAAAUUCUUGGAUUUAUUGAAGACUAACUUCUGCGAAAGCAUUUGCCAAGGAUGUUUUCAUUAAUCAAGAACGAAAGUUAGGGGAUCGAAGACGAUCAGAUACCGUCGU